GACGUAGGGCGCGAGCGUUGUCCGGAUUUAUUGGGCGUAAAGAGCUCGUAGGCGGCUUGUCGCGUCGACCGUGAAAACUCACAGCUCAACUGUGAGCUUGCGGUCGAUACGGGCAGGCUCGAGUUCGGUAGGGGAGACUGGAAUUCCUGGUGUAGCGGUGAAAUGCGUAGAUAUCUGGAGGAACACCGGUGGCGAAGGCGGCACCCUGGACCAACACUGACGCUGAGUGAGCGAAAGCCAGGGGAGCAAACGGG
rnacentral:rRNA from 1 species